GAAGAACUAAUUGGUUCAUUGAUCACAUUUGAAAUGACGUGCAAUGCAUGUGAAGAACUUGAGAACCACCUUCCAAAGAACAGGAAGGAUUUGGGACAUAGAACAUUUGAAGACCACUCGAGCAUAAGCUCAAGUGAUGGUGAACUUAAACUACAAAUGAAACAAAAAUUAAAAAGUAAAAAGAACGGAACUACUUGCUUUGAACGCAAGAAGAAGAACAAAAACUGGGAUGAAUCGAGCUCCUCCGAAGACGAGGAGAAAAUCAACAAAGGCGAGGUGGCAAACUACGCCUUU
rnacentral:lncRNA from 1 species